rnacentral:rRNA from 1 species
CUCCUACGGGAGGCAGCAGUGGGGAAUUUUGGCGUCAAUGGGGGAAACCCUGGACGCAGCAACGCCGCGUGGAGGAUGAAGCCCUUGGGGUCGUAAACGUCCUUUCGACUGGGAAGAUUAUGACGGUACCAGUGGAAGAAGCACCGGCUAACUCUGUGCCAGCCGCCGCGGUAAUAC